GUGAAUCAUCGAAUCUUUGAACGCAAAUUGCACUCUCCGGUUUUCCGGGAGAGUAUGCCUGUUUGAGGGUCAGCCUAAAAAAAAUCGACAUUGUUGCUGUUAUUUAAUGGUGACUUUCGUCGGAGAUUGGGUUAUCUUAAACCUUUUUUUUUUUUGUUUUAAGCGACUUAAAAUUUUUUUUACGAUUUUUACGAACGUUUUUAAGAAUUCCUUUUACUUUC
rnacentral:misc_RNA from 1 species